rnacentral:rRNA from 1 species
GACAGAGGGUGCAAACGUUGUUCGGAUUUACUGGGCGUAAAGCGCGUGUAGGCGGCUUUGCAAGUCGGAUGUGAAAGCCCACGGCUCAACCGUGGAAGUGCCAUCCGAAACUGCAUGGCUACGAGUCUCGGAGAGGAAGGUGGAAUGCUUGGUGUAGAGGUGAAUUCGUAGAUAUACAAGCAGAACACCUGCGGCGAAGGCGGCCCUUCUGGACGAUGACUGACGCUGAGACGCGAAAGCGUGGGAGCAAACAGG